GUUCUGCCUGGGCGAUCACACCGGGCACCGCUCUCGACUCAAAGCAAGGACUCGUCCCCAUUCAUUCACACCUGUUCGAACGUGCUAAUCAAACCGCUUUAGCCAUUUAUUCUCGAUUUGUGCUACUCUCUUGCCGCCGCCACUCCAAACUUCAACCGCGCGGGCGCGUCGCUUCGCACGUCACCCACCACCACCACCACCACACUGCGGCCCGCUCAGAUGUUUGCGAAGUUGGCUCGCAGCUUGUUGGGUCGCCAAGUCGUCCUCGCCUCCGUUAUCAAAUCGCCUGCCCGAUUCAUCAUGCCUUACACCACGAUCGAGAGGGGACAGCCCAACAGCGUCGACUACCGUCUUUACAUCCAGGAUGAGCAGGGACCAAUCUCGCCACUCCAUGACAUUCCAAUUUAUUCCGAUGCCGCCAACAAGGUGUUCAACAUGGUUGUGGAAGUUCCCCGUUGGACCAAUGCUAAGAUGGAGAUCACCAUGAAAGAGAUCAUGAACCCCAUCAAGCAGGACACGAAGAAAGGAAAACUUAGGUUUGUUGCCAACUGCUUCCCCCACCAUGGGUACAUUUGGAACUAUGGUGCCAUUCCUCAGACCUGGGAGAACCCCGAGCACCUAGAUGAGUCCACUGGAUGCAAGGGAGACAAUGACCCUAUUGAUGUCCUGGAAAUUGGUUACCGAGUUGCCAAGAGAGGAGAGAUUCUUCAAGUGAAAGUCCUUGGCACUGUGGCUCUCAUUGAUGAAGGUGAAACUGAUUGGAAAAUUAUUGCUAUUGAUAUCAAUGACCCCCUGGCAUCUCAGUUAAAUGAUAUCGGUGAUGUUGACAAGCAUUUCCCUGGGCUUUUGAAGGCAACCCUUGAGUGGUUCAAGAUUUACAAGAUUCCUGAUGGCAAGCCUGAGAACAAAUUUGCCUUCAAUGGAGAAGCUAAGAACAGAGACUUUGCCCUUAAGGUCAUUGAUGAAGUGCACAAGUUCUGGCGUGCCCUUGUCAAGAAAGAAGUUGAUGCUGGUGGCAUUUCAUGUGCUAAUGUGACAGUUGGAGACAGUCCAUUUGCUGUUCAGCGUUCUGAUGCCGUGGAUGUAGUGGAAAAGAGCCCCAAGCCUGGAGAUGCACUCCCCAUCGAACCUAUUGGCCUUGAUACAUGGCACUAUGUCUCCCACACCAAAAAAAUUUUCAAGCUCUAAGUGGUUUUUGCUCUUUUAUCCAUCCCCUUCCAUUCUUCCCUGGUCUUGGGUGCAUCCCUGUUUAAGAUGCUGCAGUUGCAGCUACAAGAUCUGCCAUAGAAAUAAGUGGACAAGUGGCACUAUGUGUCUCUGAAGUAAGAAGGCACCUAACUUAUCAUGCGAAACUCGCUCUGCCAGUGCACCUGCUGCUAGUACUCUGCUGUGAUCAUCACUUCUUUAUGUUACAUUAUUUGGGGAUUUUAAGAAACAGUGCAGAAUACUGCAAAUAAAAUAUUGUUUUUUUAGAAA